AACGCGUUAAGCAUCCCGCCUGGGGAGUACGGCCGCAAGGCUAAAACUCAAAGAAAUUGACGGGGGCCCGCACAAGCGGCGGAGCAUGCGGAUUAAUUCGAUGCAACGCGAAGAACCUUACCUGGGCUUGACAUGUUCCCGACAGCCGUAGAGAUACGGCCUCCCUUCGGGGCGGGUUCACAGGUGGUGCAUGGUCGUCGUCAGCUCGUGUCGUGAGAUGUUGGGUUAAGUCCCGCAACGAGCGCAACCCUCGCCCUGUGUUGCCAGCACGUCGUGGUGGGAACUCACGGGGGACCGCCGGGGUCAACUCGGAGGAAGGUGGGGAUGACGUCAGAUCAUCAUGCCCCUUACGUCCAGGGCUUCACGCAUGCUACAAUGGCCGGUACAACGGGAUGCGACAUGGCGACAUGGAGCGGAUCCCUGAAAACCGGUCUCAGUUCGGAUUGGAGUCUGCAACCCGACUCCAUGAAGGCGGAGUCGCUAGUAAUCGCGGAUCAGCAACGCCGCGGUGAAUGCGUUCCCGGGCCUUGUACACACCGCCCGUCAAGUCAUGAAAGUGGGUAGCACCCGAAGCCGGUGGCCCAACCUUUUGGGGGGAGCCGUCUAAGGUGAGACUCGUGAUUGGGACUAAGUCGUAACAAGGUAGCCGUACCGGAAGGUGCGGCUG
rnacentral:rRNA from 1 species